rnacentral:rRNA from 1 species
UACAGAGGAUGCAAGCGUUAUCCGGAAUGAUUGGGCGUAAAGCGUCUGUAGGUGGCUUUUUAAGUCCGCCGUCAAAUCCCAGGGCUCAACUCUGGACAGGCGGUGGAAACUACCAAGCUGGAGUACGGUAGGGGCAGAGGGAAUUUCCGGUGGAGCGGUGAAAUGCGUAGAGAUCCGGAAGAACACCGGUGGCGAAGGCGGUGAGCUGGGCAGUUGCUGACACUGAGGCGCGGCAGCGUGGGGAGCAAACAGG